CAGGACACUACUCCGGCAUCCUCCAGGGUAACAUCAUCAUCGUCGUCGUCAGCGCCUUUUGCCAACAAUGGUGACCACACAAUCUGAGAGUAGGCAGGCAGCUGGGGCACGGCAUCGGGGGCGACUCCAGUGGAUGUUUCUGAAUCCGCGGAAUUGUUGAAACUCUGAGAGGAAAGCCGGAACUUACAAGAGGAUAUCAGGGAACUAAAAGAAGAAAACCGGCGUCUGAAAAGAAAUGUUGUCGCUGAUGACAUCGACGAUGGCAUCGUCAUCCGCCUCGGCAUCGCCAUCCGCCUCAGCAACGUCUUCCGCAUCCGCCUCCGCAUCCGCAUCCACACCCACAUCCACAUCCACAUCCACACCCACACCCACAACCGCACCUGCAUCACCGACCCAGACG